GGAGGGGAAGAGAGAGAGAGGGGAGAGAGGGAGGAGGGGAAGAGAGAGAGACAGGUGGAGAGAGGGAGGAGGGGAAGAGAGAGACAGACAGGUGGAGAGAGGGAGGAGGGGAAGAGAGAGCGAGACAGGUGGAGAGAGACAGGAGGAGGAGAAGAGAGAGAGACAGGUGGAGAGAGGGGGAGGAGAAGAGAGAGAGACAGGUGGAGAGAGGGAGGAGGGAAGAGAGAGAGACAGGUGGAGAGGGAGGAGGAGAAGAGAGAGAGACAGGUGGAGAGAGGGGGAGAGAAGAGAGAGAGACAGGUGGAGAGAGGAGGAGAGAAGAGAGAGAGACAGGUGGAGAGAGGGGGAGGAGAAGAGAGAGAGACAGGUGGAGAGAGGAGGAGAAGAGAGAGAGACAGGUGGAGAGAGGGGGAGGAGAAGAGAGAGACAGGUGGAGAGAGGAGGAGAAGAGAGAGAGACAGGUGGAGAGAGGGGGAGGAGAAGAGAGAGAGACAGAGG
ensembl:lncRNA